rnacentral:rRNA from 1 species
UACGUAGGGUGCAAGCGUAUCCGGAAUUAUUGGGCGUAAAGAGCUCGUAGGCGGUUUGUCGCGUCUGCUGUGAAAACCCGAGGCUCAACCUCGGGCCUGCAGUGGGUACGGGCAGACUAGAGUGCGGUAGGGGAGAUUGGAAUUCCUGGUGUAGCGGUGGAAUGCGCAGAUAUCAGGAGGAACACCGAUGGCGAAGGCAGAUCUCUGGGCCGUAACUGACGCUGAGGAGCGAAAGCGUGGGGAGCGAACAGG